GGAAGUAAAAGUCGUAACAAGGUUUCCCGUAGGUGAACCUGCGGAUGGAUCAUUA
rnacentral:rRNA from 1 species